rnacentral:rRNA from 1 species
AAACCAACAGGGAUUGCCUCAGUAACGGCGAGUGAAGCGGCAACAGCUCAAAUUUGAAACCUGGCGCAAGCCCGGAUUGUAAUUUGCAGAGGAUGCUUCUGGGCAGCGGCCGGUCUAAGUUCCUUGGAACAGGACGUCAUAGAGGGUGAGAAUCCCGUAUGCGACCGGCGCGCACCCUCCACGUAGCUCCUUCGACGAGUCGAGUUGUUUGGGAAUGCAGCUCUAAAUGGGAGGUAAAUUUCUUCUAAAGCUAAAUACCGGCCAGAGACCGAUAGCGCACAAGUAGAGUGAUCGAAAGAUGAAAAGCACUUUGGAAAGAGAGUUAAAAAGCACGUGAAAUUGUUGAAAGGGAAGCGCUUCCCACCAGACUCCGUGGCGGUGUUCCGCCGGUCUUCUGACCGGUCUACUCGCCGCCGCGGGGCCAACAUCGUCUGGGGCCGCCGGAUAAGACCGGAGGAAUGUAGCUCAUUGAGUAUUAUAGCCUCCGGGGAUGCGGCGCGCGCCGGGCGAGGUCCGCGCUUCGGCAAGGAUGUUGGCGUAAUGGUGGGCAGCGGCCCGUCUUGAAACACGGACCAAGGAGUCUAACAUCUAUGCGAGUGUUCGGGUGUCAAACCCCUACGCGUAAUGAAAGUGAACGGAGGUGGGAACCGCAAGGUGCACCAUCGACCGAUCCUGAUGUCCUCGGAUGGAUUUGAGUAAGAGCAUAGCUGUUGGGACCCGAAAGAUGGUGAACUAUGCCUGAAUAGGGUGAAGCCAGAGGAAACUCUGGUGGAGGCUCGCAGCGGUUCUGACGUGCAAAUCGAUCGUCAAAUUUGGGUAUAGGGGCGAAAGACUAAUCGAAC